rnacentral:rRNA from 1 species
AUUGAACGCUGGCGGCAUGCUUUACACAUGCAAGUCGAACGGCAGCGCGGGCUUCGGCCUGGCGGCGAGUGGCGAACGGGUGAGUAAUGCAUCGGAACGUGCCCAGUAGUGGGGGAUAGCCCGGCGAAAGCCGGAUUAAUACCGCAUACGACCUGAGGGUGAAAGCGGGGGACCGAAAGGCCUCGCGCUAUUGGAGCGGCCGAGGUCGGAUUAGCUAGUUGGUGGGGUAAAGGCUUACCAAGGCGACGAUCCGUAGCUGGUCUGAGAGGACGACCAGCCACACUGGGACUGAGACACGGCCCAGACUCCUACGGGAGGCAGCAGUGGGGAAUUUUGGACAAUGGGGGCAACCCUGAUCCAGCCAUGCCGCGUGCGGGAAGAAGGCCUUCGGGUUGUAAAGCGCUUUUGUUCGGGAAGAAAUCCUCUGGGCUAAUACCCCGGGGGGAUGACGGUACCGGAAGAAUAAGCACCGGCUAACUACGUG